GAUGAACGCUAGCUACAGGCUUAACACAUGCAAGUCGCAGGGUAACAUGAGGAAAGCUUGCUUUCCUUGAUGACGACUGGCGCACGGGUGAGUAACGCGUAUCCAACCUUCCCAUAACUACGGGAUAACCCGUUGAAAGACGGCCUAAUACCGUAUGAUAUCGUUUGCUGACAUCAAAUAACGAUUAAAGGUUUAGCGGUUAUGGAUGGGGAUGCGUCUGAUUAGCUUGUUGGCGGGGUAACGGCCCACCAAGGCGACGAUCAGUAGGGGUUCUGAGAGGAAGGUCCCCCACAUUGGAACUGAGACACGGUCCAAACUCCUACGGGAGGCAGCAGUGAGGAAUAUUGGUCAGUGGGCGAGAGCCUGAACCAGCCAAGUAGCGUGCAGGAUGACGGCCCUAUGGGUUGUAAACUGCUUUUAUGUGGGGAUAAAGUGCGUGACGUGUCAUGCAUUGCAGGUACCACAUGAAUAAGGACCGGCUAAUUCCGUG
rnacentral:rRNA from 1 species